rnacentral:rRNA from 1 species
UACGAAGGGGGCUAGCGUUGCUCGGAAUCACUGGGCGUAAAGCGCACGUAGGCGGCUUUUUAAGUCAGGGGUGAAAUCCUGGAGCUCAACUCCAGAACUGCCUUUGAUACUGGGAAGCUUGAGUCCGGGAGAGGUGAGUGGAACUCCGAGUGUAGAGGUGAAAUUCGUAGAUAUUCGGAAGAACACCAGUCGCGAAGGCGGCUCACUGGCCCGGUACUGACGCUGAGGCACGAAAGCGUGGGGAGCAAACAGG